CCAGAGAACUUAGCAGAGAUGCUUUGGGUGCCUUCGGGAACUCUGAGACAGGUGCUGCAUGGCUGUCGUCAGCUCGUGUUGUGAAAUGUUGGGUUAAGUCCCGCAACGAGCGCAACCCUUAUCCUUUGUUGCCAGCGGCUCGGCCGGGAACUCAAAGGAGACUGCCGGUGAUAAACCGGAGGAAGGUGGGGAUGACGUCAAGUCAUCAUGGCCCUUACGGCCAGGGCUACACACGUGCUACAAUGGCGCAUACAAAGAGAAGCGACCUCGCGAGAGCAAGCGGACCUCAUAAAGUGCGUCGUAGUCCGGAUUGGAGUCUGCAACUCGACUCCAUGAAGUCGGAAUCGCUAGUAAUCGUAGAUCAGAAUGCUACGGUGAAUACGUUCCCGGGCCUUGUACACACCGCCCGUCACACCAUGGGAGUGGGUUGCAAAAGAAGUAGGUAGCUUAACCUUCGGGAGGGCGCUUACCACUUUGUGAUUCAUGACUGGGGUGAAGUCGUAACAAGGUAAGCGUAGCGAG
rnacentral:rRNA from 1 species